UCGAACGGUAGCACAGAGAGCUUGCUCUCGGGUGACGAGUGGCGGACGGGAGAGUAAUGUCUGGGAAACUGCCUGAUGGAGGGGGAUAACUACUGGAAACGGUAGCUAAUACCGCAUAACGUCGCAAGACCAAAGAGGGGGACCUUCGGGCCUCUUGCCAUCAGAUGUGCCCAGAUGGGAUUAGCUAGUAGGUGGGGUAACGGCUCACCUAGGCGACGAUCCCUAGCUGGUCUGAGAGGAUGACCAGCCACACUGGAACUGAGACACGGUCCAGACUCCUACGGGAGGCAGCAGUGGGGAAUAUUGCACAAUGGGCGCAAGCCUGAUGCAGCCAUGCCGCGUGUAUGAAGAAGGCCUUCGGGUUGUAAAGUACUUUCAGCGGGGAGGAAGGUGUUGUGGUUAAUAACCACAGCAAUUGACGUUACCCGCAGAAGAAGCACCGGCUAACUCCGUGCCAGCAGCCGCGGUAAUACGGAGGGUGCAAGCGUUAAUCGGAAUUACUGGGCGUAAAGCGCACGCAGGCGGUCUGUCAAGUCGGAUGUGAAAUCCCCGGGCUCAACCUGGGAACUGCAUUCGAAACUG
rnacentral:rRNA from 2 species